rnacentral:rRNA from 1 species
AACGAACGCUGGCGGCAGGCUUAACACAUGCAAGUCGAGCGCCCCGCAAGGGGAGCGGCAGACGGGUGAGUAACGCGUGGGAACCUACCCAUCUCUACGGAACAACUCCGGGAAACUGGAGCUAAUACCGUAUACGACCUUCGGGAGAAAGAUUUAUCGGAGAUGGAUGAGCCCGCGUUGGAUUAGCUAGUUUGUGGGGUAAUGGCCUACCAAGGCGACGAUCCAUAGCUGGUCUGAGAGGAUGAUCAGCCACACUGGGACUGAGACAUGGCCCAGACUCCUACGGGAGGCAGCAGUGGGGAAUAUUGGACAAUGGGCGAAAGCCUGAUCCAGCCAUGCCGCGUGAGUGAUGAAGGCCCUAGGGUUGUAAAGCUCUUUCGCAGGUGAAGAUAAUGACGGUAACCUGAGAAGAAGCCCCGGCUAACUUCGUGCCAGCCGCCGCGGUAAGAC